rnacentral:lncRNA from 1 species
GUAUCCACGCACCACCGUUCAUGUUCUGCGAGUCAUUCUACUGCUAUGUCUGAACACAACAGCUGAGUAAUCGUGAGCUUCUCGGAAGGAUCUCACGCUGGCGAUGACCCUCGCGAGGCCUUCUUCCUUUUUCCUCGAAGACCUGGUGUCGAUGCCGCCCUUCUCCGAGUCAGGAUACGGGUCGGUCGAGAAGGUCUACGUGGUGUGCGCUCAUGAUGAAGGCAUCAGCGAAGAGUUUCAGCGCUGGAUGAUCAAAAAUAACCCAGUGAAAGUGGUGAAGGAGAUCGAGGAUGCUGACCAUAUGGCCAUGUUCUCAACACCGAAGCAGCUCUUCCAAUGCCUCUCUGAUGUUGUCGAUGCCAGUGCUUGAUCACGUGUUACCUACCUCUUACUUUUCUGUCUCUCCAUCACUUAACAUCUACUGUCAUCGAGACCUCCUUUUUCUUCUCCUUUACCUUUCGCAGACCAAUUGAUGGGAAUGGUCGGCCAGGAAUAAAGUUCGUUUACGUCUGCCCAUUAGUAAUGCCGCAGAUGUGUUUCAUGCGUAAUGUCGUUAUCUUAAUCUGGUCAAAUGAGGUCAAGCUACUCUAUUUAUGAUCCGCGAUGUCAUCAUGUCAUUCAUUGUGAUAUUUUCGGUACGGACCCAUUUAAUUUCGUGAGAGUUAAAAUAUAUAUUAAAUAUUUAUUUUGGGUUUGAUAUGAUUUUUGAUAUCUGGAUAAUCUAUCGAGCAUGAGAAUUAACAAAAUUAAAUCUGUGAACCUUAUCCAUUGUUAACUUUAGAGAAUUCUAACGCUCGAUUGUCUACCAAUGGAAAACCAAAAAGAAGGUUGAGUUUGUAAAAUGGGUGAAUUCCUAGAAAACCCUUAGAUUUUUUUUCAUUGAUGCAUCUUUUUAUUUUUUAUUUAUUAGUGUUUUAAUUUUUUUUAAUUCAAAAAAUAUGAUAGGCUAAAAAGAUUUCUGAUAAGAUGAAUCGAUUUAUUUAUAAUAUUUUUGUAUAGACUUAAAAAUACUAUAAUUAUCAUACAAGUUAAGUUUCUUUUGCAUAUUCUUAUUUUAAAAUCACUAAAAUAUCUAUUUCCAAUCUUAUGGAGGAUAAGUUAGUUUGUAUUAUAUUUGAAGUUUUGUUUGUUUUCUAUAUGUUUAUAGUGUUUUUUUAUAUCAGUGGCCUUCUAUAUAUUUUUUGCAUAUUCUUUUCAAACUAAUAAAAAUAUGUACUGAAGUGACACAAAGUAUUAUAUUUUAUUUUUGAGUUUUUGUUCCUCAGUUAUUUUGUUGUUAUAUACAGUUACAAUAUUUUUACUAAGGUGUCAAAAAAUAUUAUAACUCAGUUUAAAACAGUAUAACUAAAAUGGUUAGUAUCACUGACUACUCCAAUAUAAAGGGUGGGAGUAUGUCAACAGCAUUUUAAGGAUAUAAAAAAAUGAAACAAUAAGAUAAAAAAAAAAGGGCACCUCAUAACGCUCGCAAAGUUGAGAAAGCAAUCCUUAUCGAGGACGCCACUCGAAAAGCUGAGAAAGCAACAACUUGAAGCCAUUGGCCGCCAUGGUUUCUUAUCUUUUCUGCUUGCCUUCUUAUCUUUUCUGCUUGCUUCUACGUGUCAGUUCCACUAUCUUUUCCUGCCCCUCAUCCACCAUGACAACUUGUCUUAAACAUUAUUUUAGUCCCCAAUCGCUCUACCAAUAUUAUUAGUGGGUAUAUAAUGAUCAUUAGGCGGAGCAAUCUAUAAGCAUCAUUUGCCAUAGCACCUCCAAAUGAAUCAUGGAGAAGGAAUGGGCGACGGGAGCUGCAACAAGAAGCACAUAAUUCUCGUCCAUGGCGCUUGCCAUGGAGCAUGGUCUUGGCACAAGGUGACGACCCAGUUGAGGUCCGCUGGGUACCAGGUUACGGUGCCCGACCUCGCGGCCUCCGGCGUCGACGAGCGGCGGUUCCAGGACCUGCGAUCGUUCAUCCACUACUCCCAGCCGCUCCUGGACAUAUUGGCCUGCCUCCCCCCUGGUGAGAGGGUCAUUCUGGUAGGCCACAGCCUCGGAGGCCUCAACAUAGCUCUGGCUAUGGACAGGUUCCCUGAGAAGAUCGCCGCCGCCGUCUUCGUCACCGCCUUGAUGCCGGAUUCAGUCAACCCGCCCUCCUACGUCGUCGACAAGGUAUUGCUAAUCGAAUUCCGAUGCACAUGUCAGACCUGUUCUUAUAAUUUUAUUGACUGGCGUGCUUUCCUUACAGCUUAAAAACGAAAAAACCAUGUUAUUUUGGAGCGACACACAAUUUGGCUUGGUCGGGGACGAAGAUAAAGGUCCCGUUUCCCUGCUAUUCGGCCCCAAAUUCUUAUCCAAGCUUUACACGCGUAGCCCACCCGAGGUACGUAUGCAUGCACAACCAUUCAUCUUCUGCGAGUCAUGCUACUACUGUCAGGGCUGAACAACAGUUGUGAAACCAUGAAAUGGUUUUUAAGGAUCUGACGCUGGCGAGGACCCUCAUGAGGCCUUCUUCCUUCUUCCUUGAAGACCUCGGGUACAUGCCUCCCUUCUCCGAGUCGGGUUACGGAUCGGUGGAGAAGAUCUACGUGGUGUGCGCUCAGGAUGAGAUCCUCACGGA